UAGGCCCUGAAUCAAGACCAGCAGUUUGCUGUGGCUGUUGGUUUCAAGCAGGAGCCGAGAGCAAUGUCCUUCUAUGGUCUGUCGGCCAUUCAGCACCCCGGGACCCAGUCAAUUGGAAGAAACAUAG
ensembl:snoRNA